GCGGAUGUGGUGGAAUUGGUAGACACGCAGCCUUGAGGGGGCUGUGGCUUAGGCCGUGAGAGUUCAAGUCUCUCCAUCCGCACCA
rnacentral:tRNA from 3 species